CUCUCCCACCCCGGCAUGAGUCCCACCCAGACACAGGGCACACACCGCACUCACCUGUGCCUGGAGGACAACAUUUUCAGGUUGUUUUCUGGAGUAAGGGUCACCAUGACGCCCUGGACGUUCUUCGUGGCCUUCUCCAACGCAAAGCCCUUCUCACCUGAGGCCACGGCAAAAACAUCCCAGGACCCCAGAAGCUGGUGGAGGAGGAGCAGUUUCCUGACGCAACAUUUGAGGAGACAAAGAUGAAAGAAGAGAAUCACAGCAGAAGAGAGAUAAGGGAAGCAGACCCACCAAUGCUCCCUGCAUUGGAAUUACAAGGCAGGCUCUCGUAGUCCACUUGGGCUGAUAUCACAAAAAUACCACACACUGGGUGGCUUAUAAACAACAGGCAUUUAUUUCUCAGUUCUGGUAGCGAAAAGUUCUAGUCAGGGUGCUAGCAGGGUCAAGGAGGGCCUCUUGUGGGUCACAGACCUCUCACAGUGUCCUCAUGGUGGAAGGGGUAGGGAAGUUCUGCUGUGGGGUCUCUUUCAUAAGGGCAUGGAUUCCAUUCAAGAGGCUCCACCGUCAUGACCUAGUCCCCUUCCAAGGGCUCACUUCCCAGUGCGAUCGUACUGGGGGCUAGGACAUCAACAUGAGUAUUGGGGGUAGACACACACAUCAGGACCACACAGAUUGUGAAAACAGCUAUGAUCACCUUGCUUAACAAGAUGGGAGCCACAUUGAAAUUUUAUGGUAUUUUUGCAAUUCUCAUAAUACAGCUGGAAACCAUAAAAAGUGGUAUAGAUAAAAGACAUCUGUGUAACCCAAAAUAAUCUUACAGAUUGCAGAUUUGGAGAAAAAUAUAUACAGUAGGCUCUCAUGAGCCAGAAUGCACAGGUUGUUCUACAAAGGAGACAUCUUAAAUCCUGGGAAAAAAUUGAUUUUGGGCAAUAAAUCCGGACAACUAGAUAUCCAUUUAGAAGAAGAUUAAGAUGAAGCAUAUUCACCUCAUGCAUGGGAAUAAACAUGAAAUGGAUCAGAAAUCUCAAUGCUAAACAUGGAAAUGGAAUCAUAUGAGUAACAAAAGAAAUCACUGGUGGGUUUCUGUAUGAUGUGGAUGGAAGGAAAUGCUUUCUAAUUGUAUCAGAUUUCACUCCUGAAGGCGGAACCAUCAGGAGGCAUAUAGAUUCACAAAUAAGGGGUUUGUGGCAGGAGGUUGACCUCACAUCACUGUAGGAGCUCAUUUCACAGGCCCCGUAAGGCUUUUGUCUUCUGGGGAUUCUGGGCAAUGUCAUGCAGCCCAGGCAGAUCAAGCCACUACAAACCCAUAGGCCACACUAACUAUGCAUAAAAUCCAGAUGUAAUAAAAGAAAGUACUGAUAAAUAACUUGACUAUAUUUUUAAAUUUUUUAUAGCAAAAAUAAAGCCAUAAACAAAGUCAAAAGAUGAGUGACAAGUCUGGAGAAAAUAUUUCCAACACAGAUCACAUGCAAGGGCUAAUAGCCAUACUCUACCAAAACUUUUAGAAAUUAAAGAAAAACAGGGCUGAAAACGCAUCACAAAAAAAGGACAAUGACAUAACCAGAUAAUUCACACGAAAAAGUUAAAAUGACCCCUAAACAUGAAAAGAUGUUUCUUAUGAAUUGCAUUCCACCAACCCCCCGCCCCCACCAAUUUCUAUGCUGAGGUCCUGACCCCAGAACCUUAGAAUAUGACUCUGUUCAGACAUGGAGGCUUUUAAAGAGUUAGUUAAGUCCAAAUGAGAUUGUUCAGUUUAAACAUACCUGGGGUCCUUAUCAGAAGAGAUUAAGGUACACACACACACACACACACACACACACACACACACACACACACACUCAACUGGGGCGACCAUGUGGGGACAUGGGGAAAAGAUGGCUAUGUACACACCAAGGAGAGAGGCCUUGGGAGGAACUGGCCCUGCCACACCUGGAUCUGACUCCAGCCUCCAGAGCUGGGAGAGAAUACACCUCUGAUGUUUAAGUCUGUGGUGCUUUGUAAUGGCAGCCCGGUGAAUGGAUACAAUGUUCAUUUUCAUUCACAGUAAGAAAAUGCAAAUUAAAACAAUGCGGAGAUGUCAUUUAUCACCUAUCAUCCUGCCAAAAAUUGCAGAGCUUAGCCACACCACCCACAAUUUGGCUACACGAGCAUGCCCAUGCACUGCCUGUCAGACUGCAAAUGGUACCAUCAUUACAAAGGGGAAUGUGGCAACAUCUAACAAAACUUAACUACCUGCCCGUUUGUCUUUUGUUCUAGAAAUCCCACUCACAGGAAUCUAUCCUAAGGAAGUACCUGAGACAAUACAAACUAUAUAUACACACAGUGGUUACUCAGUAAAGCAUUGUUUGUGAUAGAAAACUGUUGGAAGUUGGCUAGGUGCCCACAUCCAGGAGACUGUUUGAAUCAAAGAUGGUGUACCCACAAACAGUCCUAUGCAGCUAUAAAAGAAUAACCCGAAGGUCUCUGUGAACCAACAUGGGGUGAGUGCUAGGACAUGAAGGUGUAUUGUAAAGUGGAAAAAGCCAAGUGCCAAAGGGCAUGUGAAGCACACAGCCUUCUAGGUGAGACAGAAAGGAUGAUAAGGAAAUGUACGUUGUCUGCCUAUUUCUGCAAGAAGAAACACAGGAAGGAUAAAUCGGAGUCUAAAGAGCUUCGUCACCCACAGGGGUAGGCUGGGGAGGAAGUUAGACCCCCUCCCCACAGCAUACCUUCUUUUAUGUUGUUGUUUUUUUCCAGAUUCAUUUAUUUAUUUUAGAAGAGGAGAGAGAGAGAGCAGGGGGAGGGGGAGAGGGACUGGGAGAGAGAAUCUUCCAGCUGACUCCCUGAUGAGCCUGGAGGAGCCCGGCAUGGGGCUCCAUCCCACGACCGUGAGAUCCUGACCUGAGCCGAAGGCAGACGCUUUAACCGACUGAGCCACCCAGGUGUCCCCACCCUUCACCCUUUUCUGUUACAGGCUUUAUGAUAUUUACAUUUAACAGUUAAUAUGUAGAUUCAGUAAAAGUUAAGCUUCUGUCACUUUAAGCUGUACCAGUCAAAGGUACUUCCUCAGGCUCCUUGCAUGAGCUCAGGCUUGGGUCAGAUUGACCUGGGUUCAAACCCACAGCAGGGCCAUGUCACAGCCCUGUGACAGGAACCUCCUAUGGGAACUCUUGGAAACAUGCCUGGGGCCAUGGUGUGGGGAGGAGUAACUUGCCAGGCUGAAGGCCAGGGGUCCCCACGAUGCCCAAAGGGCUGCCAUAGGCAUCCACAUUCUAGAGACAGACCCCUACUCCCUUCAAUUGGCUAGAGAUGCUCCAAUGAUCAAACUGUUCUCCCGCUGUAUCCCUACAUGCUGAGGAUGUGGUAGAAAAGCCAACAGUGAGAGCCAUUUCCUACACUGCAGACCGGAGUCAGGUCUCACCCCUGACAUCUCUGGCCAUUUGCCUGGAGGUACCCAAAUGUAACAAGGGAGGCCCAGAGCCAGCCAGGCCAGUCAGACACUGACUGUGCAGCCCAGCUCUCCUCGUGUGUGUGUGUGUGUGUGUGUGUGUGUGUGUGUGUGUGUGUGUGUGUACAGGGGUCUCAUGCAGGGUGAUGAUGGGUCCGAUGCCCGGUGGGUGGAUCAUGCUCACACCCCAGGUCAAGGCUGGCUGGGUGCGAUGGGGUGUGGGGGGCUGGGAGCUUCUGCUCAGGGUUUAUCCCGAGAGCUCCACAGGUAUGGGUCACUGUCUGGGGUGUUGGGCUAUGCACGCACAGGUGUGUGUCUGAUCUGGGAGCAACAGGGGGACUGGACAGUGUGACAGUGAGGACGGCCGGGCAGGGCUGUGAUGCCUCCGGGCCGGCUACCCCUCACUGUCUUUGCAGUAGUCAACGGAUGUAAUGGACUAGAGGAUGGCAGACACCCACUCCAUCUCUAUGACCUGGGGCGUGACCCCAUAGGGCUGUCCAGGAGCAGGAGCUGAGUAUUGCCGGGGAAGGCCUCUGACAUCACCCAGACCACUGUCUGUGGUAGUCGUUCAGUAGAUUG
rnacentral:lncRNA from 1 species